GCGCCCGUAGCUCAGUCGGAUAGAGCGCAGGCCUCCGGAGCCUGAGGUCGCAGGUUCAAUUCCUGUCGGGCGCACCA
rnacentral:tRNA from 1 species